rnacentral:lncRNA from 1 species
ACUCCCAGCAGCUAAGGUGACAAGCGUUUUUCGGUUCUGCCAGGGGAUCUGAGUGGCACACAACAACAUCCACUAUGAAAUGUGGUGUGUGCUGGGUGGGGGCUGACUGAGGAGCUCGAGAGUAGGAGUGAGGCAGGCUAUUUUAAAGAGGUGGCAAGGGAAGGCCUCUCUGAGCAAAGGCAGAGACUUUAGGCAAAGACUUGAUUGGUGUGAGGAAGUGAGCCAUUCAAAGUCAAGGGCACCAGAGGUUCUAAGCAGAGGAAACAGCAAAUGCAAAGCAGAGAACAAGCUUGGCACAUUUGAGAACCAACAAUAAGUCCAGUGUGUCUGGAGCCACAGGAGUCAAGGAGACAGCAGCUGGCAGUUCAGCCAAUGGGCUACCAGGAAACCAGAUGGCAGAGAGCCUGGUAGACCACGGUAGAAGCAUAUGGGAAACUGCAUUCCGAUCCAGGGAAGUAUAGGAAGCAGUAAUAAAAGUGGGAAGACCUAUUAUAAGUUCGUUGCAGUCAUCCAGACAAGGUGACUGAGAACCAGAGAAGGAAUGGCAGGUUGAAUUAUUAUUUAUAAUGAAUAUAAUAUUUACAACUGGUACAGAUCACAAAGAAGACAUUAAUAAACUGAUCUAUACCAGGAAGCUGUUCCCUGGUUUUUUAUAGCACUCUAAGCCUGGUGACCUUCCUGAGCAAACAGAGUCCCUUGCCUCACUGAGGAGAACUCCAGGGAACACCAAAGGCCAAGGGAGACACCGCAGGCAAUAAAACAUCCCUAGCAAAGCAUCUCAACACCCCCAGACAAAGAAAGGCACAGAACUCAAGAAAGCAGUGACAGGAGAGCUUUAGUAAAUGUUUAAUGAAGACGGAGCAUAGAGGUCGUCCAAUGCAGCCCCUCUUUUUCAA